rnacentral:rRNA from 1 species
AAUCAACGCUGGCGGCGUGCCUCAGACAUGCAAGUCGAACGAUUAAAGCUCCCUUCGGGGAGUGCAUAAAGUGGCGCACGGGUGAGUAACACGUAAGUAAUCUACCCUCGGGUGGGGAAUAACGUUCGGAAACGGACGCUAAUACCGCAUAACGCAGCGGCACCGCAAGGUGACAGUUGUUAAAGAUUUAUUGCCUGGGGAGGAGCUUGCGGCAGAUUAGCUUGUUGGUAAGGAACGGCUUACCAAGGCUACGAUCUGUAUCCGGUCUAAGAGGACGGUCGGACACACUGACACUGAAUAACGGGUCAGACUCCUACGGGAGGCAGCAGUCGGGAAUUUUGGGCAAUGGGGGAAACCCUGACCCAGCAACGCCGCGUGAAGGAUGAAGUAUUUCGGUAUGUAAAC